UCCUAAAGAAACCUCAUUGGCUGGUUUCCUCAAUCGACAUGUUAGUCCCAUUCUUCAGUUUUCACCUUUGCCAAAUAGAAUUCAGCUUUUAAGGACCAACUCAGAUCCCGUUAUCUUGCGUUCUUCCUGGAAACCGGUAGGGUUUUCGUCCCGCAGAAGUAAAGGGUUUUCUGCUCGUGCAGAAAAUGGUGAAGGAGAGCCGAAGAAUGUUAUUGACGAAGCAGAAGCAGCUCGAGGAGAGAGUACUAUGCCUUCUCGCUUCCGUUAUUUGACUAAGGAAGCUCCUGAUCGCCCUGUGAGGUGGCCAUGGCUGAUAGUCUGGGAAUAGCUAUCUUGCCAUGCUAAGCAGCAUGUCCACCAUAUCUGUCAUGUGGCAGUUUCAUUGGCUUCUGGAAAACAGUUGAAGGUGAGCUCUGCCCUUAGUACUGAUCUAUUUUCACUAAUUCUCUGAACGUGCUUUCAACCUGCCCACUGUUGUCUCUUGGUUCCUCUCAGUCUGCACCAUAUCAGAAGUUUGAUUGUUUCACCUUCACACUUAUUGAAGGAUUUUUUUAUUUUUUUUGGCUAUAUAGAUUACUCCUAUAGCUGAUCAACUUUAUUUUUUUCAAAGUUUGAUUAUUGAUUGCUUCUUCUUAACUGUUUUACUGACUUUUAAUAUCCCAUUACUAAUAUAGAUAGAAUCUAUGUUGUGGAUUUGUAGGGUUUGUGUUGGUAUUUAGCAAUAUGCAUAUUGCAGAAUGAGAAACUACUGAAGUUACAGUGUGAUAUACCAUACUGUUGUAGGGUGAUAUUUUGCUUAUAUGCCUUGUUCUUUUUGUAGGUAUAAACACUUGGUUUUUUGCUACUGUUUUGCUUGGUUUUGGGGCUGGGUGAGGAUAUCUGAUGGUGGUAAUAUACACAGAUAUCGGUUUACUACUUUGUCUGGUAAAAACUUGCUUAAGUCCCAGGUUUUAAGCAACUAAUGCUUAAGUCCCAUACUGCUUUGUCUGGUAAAACCUUGCUAAAGUCCCAGGUUUUAAGUAACUAAUUCUUGGAGCCAUAUACUGUUUUGUUUGGUAAAACCUUGCUUAAGUCCCAAGUUUUAAGUAACGUAUGCCACAUGGCUGAUUAUGAGUUUUAUUUACGCUUCUAAUGGUUGUGGCCUUGCACUGCAAUUUUGUAUCUUGAAAACUAACAUUUUUAGAUUGUAGGU